UACGUAGGGUGCGAGCGUUAAUCGGAAUUACUGGGCGUAAAGCGUGCGCAGGCGGUUAUGUAAGACAGGCGUGAAAUCCCCGGGCUCAACCUGGGAAUUGCGCUUCUGACUGCAUAGCUAGAGUGUGUUAGAGGGGGGUAGAAUUCCACGUGUAGCAGUGAAAUGCGUAGAGAUGUGGAGGAAUACCAAUGGCGAAGGCAGCCCCCUGGGAUAACACUGACGCUCAUGCACGAAAGCGUGGGGAGCAAACAGG
rnacentral:rRNA from 1 species